ensembl:lncRNA
CUCUUCUCUGCCCCCAGCAAAACAAAGGGUGUGAUCUCUCAUUCUGCCACGAGAGGGCGCAUUCGUCUGUUCCAGCCCGGACCUGCGCCUGCGCAAUAUUGGGCUAGAGCUGGGUGGCCAGUCGGAAUCUCAACAGACCGCCCCGCCCCGGGCUAGGGAUACACGUCAGAGGCGCUUGCUGAGCGCGGCGGCUGGAGGGGACCCACAGCCUCUUGUCCUCCCCUUCCGGGUCCAGAGGAUGUUCUCCCAAAACAUCAAAAUAGUGAGGAGGACCCGAGGGGAGGCAGGGGACUGGACACAAUGCCCUCUUUCCUACCUUCCCCAUCAUCUAUAUCAUUCCUCGGACUUAAAAGGACAAUUCCAUUUUUACCCACCCCCACGACAUUUGGGGGAACCAGCCUGAAGACCUAAGUGUACCCAUAAUACCCCUCCCCUACUCGGCCUUUUAUCGGUGAACUUGUCUUCAAAGGGGUUCCUUGAGCCUCCUGACCGCCCACAGCUAUCAGUCUUGAAUCUGAGAAGGCCAGAGGCCACCCCUGGCCAAACAUUUUAGCUUAGAGGAGGACUUGCCAACAUGGGCCCCAGUCUCACCAAAACCAGAAGGAAGGUAGCUGAGGUCAUCACUGAGAAGUAACAGAAGCACCACGGCAACGACUUCCAGUGAAAGAUGGUAUGAUUAUUUAUGCGGAAAACCCAAGAGAUUCCAUAGGGAUCGAAUACAGGCCAACAGCAGUUGAAAGCACCACAUCCUAAUCACUGGACUGCCAAGAAAUUCCCUGAACUUUUCUUAUUUUUUAAGAAACUUUUCAAACUAAAAGUAAAAACGU